rnacentral:lncRNA from 1 species
AUUGAGUAUCAGUAGAUUAAAUCUGCAAUUCUUUUGUUUUUGAAGGAAGCUAUAACUAUGUAAUCUUCAAAUACUUCCUUAAUUAAAGACCCCAGUACUAUCAUCUUGCAAAACAAACAGCAAAAUCCCAUUAUGUUUCUUUAAAGCAAAAUUUAAAUCUUUGUUUUGAUGGUAUUUACGAAUAGUCUUAUCUUCACGUGUAGAUAUUUGUGAGGAGAAAAGUACUUACUAAUGGCAAAGUAGUCAACCAUUUUCAAGGUAAAAAUUGAUUUCUAUUUAUUUUGCUUCAAAGGUCCUGAAAAAAUAAGCAAUUAUCAUAACG